UUGUGGCUAAGGUUUACAAGCGACGAUCUGUAGCGCGUCUGAGAUGAUGAUCCGCCACACUGGGACUGAGACACGGCCCAGACUCCUACGGGAGGCAGCAGUGGGGAAUAUUGGACAAUGGGGGGAACCCUGAUCCAGCCAUGCCGCGUGUGUGAAGAAGGCCUUAUGGUUGUAAAGCACUUUAAGCGAGGAGGAGGCUACUGAGACUAAUACUCUUGGAUAGUGGACGUUACUCGCAGAAUAAGCACCGGCUAACUCUGUGCCAGCAGCCGCGGUAAUACAGAGGGUGCGAGCGUUAAUCGGAUUUACUGGGCGUAAAGCGUGCGUAGGCGGCUUUUUAAGUCGGAUGUGAAAUCCCCGAGCUUAACUUGGGAAUUGCAUUCGAUACUGGGAAGCUAGAGUAUGGGAGAGGAUGGUAGAAUUCCAGGUGUAGCGGUGAAAUGCGUAAGAUCUGGAGGAAUACCGAUGGCGAAGGCAGCCAUCUGGCCUAAUACUGACGCUGAGGUACGAAAGCAUGGGGAGCAAACAGGAUUAGAUACCCUGGUAGUCCAUGCCGUAAACGAUGUCUACUAGCCGUUGGGGCCUUUGAGGCUUUAGUGGCGCAGCUAACGCGAUAAGUAGACCGCUGGGGAGUACGGUCGCAAGACUAAAACUCAAAUGAAUUGACGGGGGCCGCACAAGCGGUGGAGCAUGUGGUUUAAUUCGAUGCAACGCGAAGAACCUUACCUGGCUUGACAUACUAAAAACUUUCCAGAGGAUGGAUUGGGUGCCCUUCGGGAAUCUAGAUUCCAGGUGCUGCAUGCUGUCGUCAGCUCGUGUCGUGGAGA
rnacentral:rRNA from 1 species